rnacentral:lncRNA from 1 species
UGACCGUUUAACCUUACAGCUAUGCAAGUCUCCAGUCUGCUGUCAUGAGUUUUUUCUUAUGCUCAUGAGGCACAAACUUCCUGCUUCUUUUAUGGAAUCCUCAAGAGGUUCAACAAGACAAAUUCAUUUUGACAUUAGAUGAAACUACUUUAUACCUUUGGGCAUCCAAAGGCUACUCCCCAUCCCUUCCCCAGCUAGGAAGAGAGAGGUGAGAAAACUUCUUGAGAGAUUGUAGGAGCCAGAGGAACAGGGAGUUUGGUGUGAGACUGUGUCUCCUAGGAACAUCGGAAGCUACAUCGAAAGAACUACAGGCAGCUAAGAAGAGUCGAAAGCUGGAGAAAUCCCCUUCGUUAGGAAAGAGCACAGGAAUUGAUUAUCCAAUACAAAAUGGUUAGCCCUGAAAACUCAUAAA